rnacentral:rRNA from 1 species
UGGUGGAGCGAUUUGUCUGGUCAAUUCCGAUAACGAACGAGACUCUAGCCUACUAAAUAGUUCGGGGACCCCCACAAAGGGGCCCCGCUUCAACUUCUUAGAGGGAUAGGUGGCGUUUAGCCACACGAGAUUGAGCAAUAACA